UACGGGGGGGAGCAAGCGUUGUUCGGAUUUACUGGGCGUAAAGGGCGCGUAGGCGGCCAGCGCAAGUCAGUUGUGAAAUCUCCGAGCUUAACUCGGAAAGGUCAACUGAUACUGUGCGGCUAGAGUGCGGAAGGGGCAACUGGAAUUCUUGGUGUAGCGGUGAAAAUGCGUAGAUAUCAAGAGGAACACCUGCGGCGAAGGCGGGUUGCUGGGCCGACACUGACGCUGAGGCGCGAAAGCCAGGGGGAGCGAACGGG
rnacentral:rRNA from 1 species